rnacentral:tRNA from 1 species
GGGCCCGUAGCUCAGUUGGUCAGAGCAGGGGACUCAUAAUCCUCUGGUCGUAGGUUCAAAUCCUACCGGGCCCACCA